GCCACGGUAGCACAAUCGGUCAGUGCAGUAGACUGAACAAUUGUAGAUGCGGGUUCGAAUCUCAUCUGAGAUU
rnacentral:tRNA from 1 species